rnacentral:rRNA from 1 species
UACGUAGGGUGCAAGCAUUGUCCGGAUUUAUUGGGCGUAAAGAGCUCGUAGGCGGCUUGUCACGUCCGGUGUGAAAACUCGGGGCUCAACCCCGAGCCUGCACUCGAUACGGGCUAGCUAGAGUGUUGCAGGGGAGACUGGAAUUCCUGGUGUAGCGGUGAAAUGCGCAGAUAUCAGGAGGAACACCGGUGGCGAAGGCGGGUCUCUGGGCCGAUACUGACGCUGAGGGGCGAAAGCGUGGGGAGCGAACAGG